rnacentral:rRNA from 1 species
GCAUGUGGCUUAAUUUGACUCAACGCGGGAAAUCUUACCGGGUCCGGACACACUGAGGAUUGACAGGCAAUAUAUGUGACUCUUCGGAGUUUGCAUUGUUAAAUAUGCUAGUCCUUUCAUGAUUAUGUGAUAGGUGGUGCAUGGCCGUUCUUAGUUCGUGGAGUGAUCUGUCUGCUUAAUUGCGUUUCAAAUUACUUAUAAGGUAGCAAUACGCGAUGAAGCUUUCAAUAGUCCUCACGGAUUCACUUGAGUCUCUCGCUUCGCUAUCCUUUCGAAUGCAACGAACGUGACCGCAACCUCUUGUUGCCUUCGUUUAACAUCCUGCAGUUCUCUGUGGGUACUGAGGGCUUCACUCGGUGACUUUGGGCUGAGCAAUCGGUCUUUUGAUCUGAGUAAACUAGAGGGACCGCUGUCAACUUCUUAAACCANAGGAAGGUUGCGGCAAUAACAGGUCUGUGA